AUAUGACAUAAUUAUCACUAAUUCCAUGUGUUCUCCCUCAUAGAUGUCGAUCAAAACAUGUCUAAUCCACCAAAGACCGGAGCACGUGACCUCCUGUGUGACCCCGAGGGUUGACUGAGUGACUGUCGAGCCACGUGUCAAGAGAAGCAGUUUUUUGUUGCAUUACAUUCUCCCGGGCAUAUGGGCUCCAGAAGCAUUCAAGCACAAAGAAUAUCUCCGUCCAGACAAACACGACUACAAAUGCUCACAGUGAUUUGACAGUCCACAUGAACACUGACUCACACACUUCUCGACUCCAGCCUCUCCAGGUGCCCCAUUAAAAUUGUGUUUGUCUGUGUUGGUCGGGACCCAGAUAUGGGUUGUAAAACACACACAAACACCCUCUCACACACACACACACACACACACACACACACGCACAUAAAAACGCACAUGCACACGAGCCAAAUUACUCUAAAGAGAUUGUUUAGCUCUACUUUGUUGCCAGCGUUUCCCUCCAGUCUGUGUCAGCGGCAUAAAACAGUCAGGGCCUGAAUGUUAAGACGCACGCACACAUUUGAUUUCCUUUCAUCCUUUACACUUGGGCAUGAAAUCAGUUUAUGUGCUUUCACCCCCACCCCCCCAAACUCCAACUCCAAGUCCAGCCCCGCCCGCAUGCCCACACACACACACGAGGCAUCGGAUGGAGUCAUCCUCGCCUGUUUGCUAAGGCAUCUGUCAGGUUCAUUGGGUAACAGGGGAUUCAGUGACGUCACCGCGGCCCCCUUCAGUCCUACGCCUCUGUUUCUAUUUCCUUACAUACACACACACACAC